rnacentral:snRNA from 1 species
CAGUGUUACAGCUGUUUUAGAAUUUGUCUGGCAGGCUUUCUGGUUUUUGCUGGAAAGCCCCU